rnacentral:rRNA from 1 species
UGGGGAAUAUUGCACAAUGGAGGGAACUCUGAUGCAGCGACGCCGCGUGAGUGAUGAAGGAAUUCGUUUCGUAAAACUCUGUUCUAUGGGAAGAAAAGGACUGUACCAUAGGAGAAAGCUCCGGCUAAAUACGUGCCAGCAGCCGCGGUAAUACGUAUGGAGCGAGCGUUGUCCGGAAUUAUUGGGGGUAAAGGGUGCGCAGGCGGCUUUACAAGUUGGAUGUGAAAUAUUGUGGCUCAACCACAAACGUGCAUCCAAAACUGCAAAGCUUGAGUUAAGGAGAGGUAAGUGGAAUUCCUGGUGUAGCGGUGGAAUGCGUAGAUAUCAGGAGGAAUACCGGUGGCGAAGGCGACUUACUGGACUUAAACUGACGCUCAGGCACGAAAGCGUGGGGAGCAAACAGG